GGGAUCAGCUCAACUUGGAAAUUGUGGCCCCCGUGGCCUUGAAUUGUAAUCCCGAGAUGCGCUGCCAACAGAGGUGUGGAUGUAAGCCUUUUGGAAGAGAGGAGUGCCCACGAGGGUGAGAGCCCCGUCUGUCGUUCGCAGCCCCCUGAGCACGGCGCGCCCUCCAAGAGUCGCGUUUCUCGAAAUCGGAGCGUAAAGCGGGUGGUAAGCCUCAUUUCAAGCUAAAUAUUGUCUCGAGACCGAUAGGAAAAAAGUACCAUGAGGGAAAGGUGAAAAGAACUUUGAAAAGAGAGUUAAAAGUGUCUGAACUUGCUGAAAGGGAAGCGAAUGGAACCAGUGCUGCAUGGCGAGAUUGUCGCGCGCCGCGGCAUUCCCAGAGGGCGCGCGGUGCUUCUUGCCUUGUGCGUCCACAUCAGCUCGUGGCCCGAGGAAACCUCUAGGGACAUGGCAGUUCGCCGCUCGCGGCCCAAAUGUGCCUGGCAGAACUCGUUCGUGAGCUGAAGUUCGGGUGUCUGAUUGCAGCGCUCCCCACCCGGGUGCCCCCCUGACAUUUGGAGGGCGAUGAAACGGUUCCAUUCGACCCGUCUUGAAACACGGACCAAGGAGUCUAAUGCGUGCGCGAGUCCACGGGUGAUGAAAACCUGCUUGCGAAGUGAAAGCAACUGCUGGGAUGUCUGCACCAGCAACCGACCAAUCAAUCAAGAGAGGUUUGAGUGUGAGCGCACCUGUUAGGACCCGAAAGAUGGUGAACUAUGCCUGAGAAGGGCAAGCUCAGGGGAAACUCUGAUGGAGGCUCGUAGCGAUACUGACGUGCAAAUCGUUCGUCGCACUUGGGUAUAGGGGCGAAAGACUAAUCGAACCAUCUAGUAGCUGGUUCUCUCCGAAGUUUCCCUCAGGAUAGCUGGAGGUGAACAAUCUUACCAGGUAAAGCGAAUGAUUAGAGGAAUCGGGGGUGCGUUGUCCUCGACCUAUUCUCAAACUUUAAAUUGGUAAGAUUCAGUGGUUGCUUGGAUGAACUUCUGGGUUAGAUGGCAUCUCUAAGUGGGCCGUUUUUGGUAAGCAGAACUGGCGAUGAGGGAUGAACCUAACGUUGGGUUAAGGUGCUAAACUGCUCGCUCAUCAGAUACCAUAAAGGGUGUUGGUUCAUUUUAACAGCAGGACGGUGGUCAUGGAAGUUGAAAUCCGCCAAGGAGUGUGUAACAACUCACCUGCCGAAUGGACUAGCCCCGAAAAUGGAUGGCACUCAAGCGGGUGACCGAUACCCAACCAUUGUUACACCUGUGCAGCAUCAAUGAGUAGGAGGGCAUGGGGGCUUGU
rnacentral:rRNA from 1 species